GGAUUAGAUACCCUGGUAGUCCACGCCGUAAACGAUGUCGACUAGUUGUCGGGACUCUUGCAGUCUUGGUAACGUAGCUAACGCGAUAAGUCGACCGCCUGGGGAGUACGGCCGCAAGGUUAAAACUCAAAUGAAUUGACGGGGGCCCGCACAAGCGGUGGAGCAUGUGGUUUAAUUCGAAGCAACGCGAAGAACCUUACCUGGCCUUGACAUCCUGCGAACCCUUUAGAGAUAAAGGGGUGCCUUCGGGAGCGCAGAGACAGGUGCUGCAUGGCUGUCGUCAGCUCGUGCCG
rnacentral:rRNA from 1 species